GGCCUAUACAUGCAAGUCGAACGGGAUUGGAGAGCUUGCUUUCCAUGAGGGUGGCGUACGGGUGCGUAACGCGUAUGCAACCUACCUUCAUCAGGGGGAUAGCCCGAAGAAAUUCGGAUUAACACCGCAUAAAAACACAACCUGGCAUCAGGCAAUGUUCAAAUAUUUAUAGGAUGAAGAUGGGCAUGCGUGUCAUUAGCUAGUUGGUGAGGUAACGGCUCACCAAGGCGACGAUGACUAGGGGAUCUGAGAGGAUGACCCCCCACACUGGUACUGAGACACGGACCAGACUCCUACGGGAGGCAGCAGUAAGGAAUAUUGGUCAAUGGAGGCAACUCUGAACCAGCCAUGCCGCGUGCAGGAAGACAGCCCUAUGGGUCGUAAACUGCUUUUAUACGGGAAUAAACCUUGAUUCGUGAAUCAAGCUGAAUGUACCGUAAGAAUAAGGAUCGGCUAACUCCGUGCCAGCAGCCGCGGUAAUACGGAGGAUCCAAGCGUUAUCCGGAUUUAUUGGGUUUAAAGGGAGCGUAGGCGGCUUAUUAAGUCAGGGGUGAAAGACGGUGGCUCAACCAUCGCAGUGCCUUUGAUACUGAUGAGCUUGAAUGUAGUUGAGGUAGGCGGAAUGUGACAAGUAGCGGUGAAAUGCAUAGAUAUGUCACAGAACACCGAUUGCGAAGGCAGCUUACUAAGCUAUUAUUGACGCUGAGGCUCGAAAGCGUGGGGAUCAAACAGGAUUAGAUACCCUGGUAGUCCACGCCCUAAACGAUGAUAACUCGAUGUUGGCGAUAUACAGUCAGCGUCCAAGCGAAAGCGUUAAGUUAUCCACCUGGGGAGUACGCCCGCAAGGGUGAAACUCAAAUGAAUUGAC
rnacentral:rRNA from 1 species